rnacentral:rRNA from 1 species
AUUGAACGCUGGCGGAAUGCUUUACACAUGCAAGUCGAGCGGCAGCGCGGGGGCAACCCUGGCGGCGAGCGGCGAACGGGUGAGUAACAUAUCGGAACGUACCCAGUCGUGGGGGAUAACUAUCCGAAAGGAUAGCUAAUACCGCAUACGUCCUGAGGGAGAAAGCGGGGGAUCGCAAGACCUCGCGCGAUUGGAGCGGCCGAUAUCGGAUUAGCUAGUUGGUGGGGUAAAGGCUCACCUAGGCGACGAUCCGUAGCUGGUCUGAGAGGAUGAUCAGCCACACUGGGACUGAGACACGGCCCAGACUCCUACGGGAGGCAGCAGUGGGGAAUUUUGGACAAUGGGCGCAAGCCUGAUCCAGCCAUGCCGCGUGAGUGAAGAAGGCCUCGGUUGUAAGCGUACUUUCUACGGUGGAAGAAAUAAGACGCUGUUAAUUAG